UACAGAGGGUGCGAGCGUUAAUCGGAGUAACUGGGCGUAAAGGGCGCGUAGGCGGAUAGAUAAGUGAGAGGUGAAAUCCCUGGGCUUAACCUAGGAAUGGCCUAUUAGACUGUUUGUCUAGAGUGCAGUAGAGGGCAGUGGAAUUUCCGGUGUAGCGGUGAAAUGCGUAGAGAUCGGAAGGAACAUCAGUGGCGAAGGCGACUGCCUGGACUGAGACUGACGCUGAGGCGCGAAAGCGUGGGGAGCAAACAGG
rnacentral:rRNA from 1 species